AGAAAACAAGGUCUAAGUAACUUUCUUGCGCUGGAGCCCGUCGUCUUCUGCAGGAUGUAAACGCUUGCUUCUGCGGAACUGAGAUGACUUAACACCGUUCUAGGGCCGAUUCCCGGCCGCCUGCUUUGGGGAACGGAGCCUGGGAGCAGACUUAACAGAGCUCCAGGGAGCAGUCUGUGUCUGCAGAGACCGACGGGCAGACUGGAAUUUCACCACUGUGGAGGCAUCUGAAGUUUGCAGGUACAGAGGCUCAUGACUUUGUCUUGGGCUAGUGUUAGCUUCUGGAAUGGCCACGCCUUACCCAACUCCGUGUCUGAACUAACAACUCAUGAUGAUAAUAAUUACAAACCUCUUAGGAGCUAUUAACAGGGCAGGAUACUAGCUUCCACAAAUCCAAGAGCUCCGAAUGUCAUCAGACAGCACCUGCCUAUAGCACAGCUCCCCAUCUCUUUGUACCCCUCCCUCUGGUGUAUCCACCAAUGUAUUUUAAAGUUGUCUUGAUUUAUGACUUUCUGUGUUCUUUAAAACCAUAAAACCUUCAUGAAACUGUUUCUGUGUUGGACACAUGGAACUCAGGAUAACCUAACUCUGUAUUCCCCCGGGACAUGGUCACUCAGUGGCCAUACAAUAGACUGUCUUGUUAUAGAGAUUAUCUUAACUAUGUAGAGAUGUGUUACAUUUGUUUAUGCUGCGAUUGUUUAAGGAUAUAAGAAUGUGUGUUUAACUAUGUAAAGAUGUGUUGGAUUUGUUUCACCUUGCUUGCCUAAGGCACUUGAUUGAUUGGUUUAAUAAAGAGCUGAACAGCCAA